CUUGUCUCGUGAGCGCCAGGACUGGGAUUCCAGUUGACGAGGGCGGGGGAGUAUCGAAAAUUCGGCGGAUGCCCCUGGGGUUCAGAAGACCGAACCCAAAAAUUGCUCUACAAAUCCAGGAAGUGAUUUCUGGGACAAAAAGAGCAACAGGUCUUCUU
rnacentral:ncRNA from 2 species